rnacentral:rRNA from 1 species
UUGCUUGGAUUAUUUAUUUUAAUAUUAAUCUAUAUGCAAAUUUUUGUAGUUAAUUAUUUAUUCUUAAAGGAUUUUAAUUUAUAUUAAUUACAGUAGAUAAAUUUAUUUAUAUUAAGUUAAUUUAGAUUUAGUGAAUAUUAAAAGGUUUGGUUAAAGUUGUGCCAGCAUCCGCGGUUAUACAGCAAAAUCAAGUAAAUAUUAUUGGCUUUAAAAUAAUUAAUAUUAAUUAUGAUUAUUAAAAUUGAAAUAUUUUAAGGUGAAAUUUUAAUGUUUUGAGGUAAAUAAAAUUUAGUAUGAUUAUUAUGAAAUUAAAAAUGUAAACUAGGAUUAGAUACCCUAUUAUUUUUAUUGUAAAUUUGAAAGUUAAAGUAUUAGUAGUUAUGUUCUUGAAACUUAAAGAAUUUGGCGGUAUUAUAGUCUAUUUAGAGGAAUCUGUUAUGUAAUUGAUAAUCCACAUUGAACCUUACUUAUAUUAUUUUUUUUGUAUAUCGCUGUUUAAGAAAAUAUUUUUAAAUAAUUUUCUGAUUAUUGUAUUAAAUAAUAUUUCAAGUCAAGGUGCAGUAAUAUAUAAGUUGAAUAAUGGAUUACAAUAAAUUUUAUUUAUUAUGAAUUAUUAUUGAAAUAUAAUUUGAAGGUGGAUUUAAUUGUAAUUUUAUAAAGAUUAUUAAAAUGAUUUAUAGCUCUAUAAUAUGUACACAUCGCCCGUCACUCUCGUUAUUAAGAUGAGAUAAGUCGUAACAAAGUAGAUGUAUCGGAAGAUGUAUCUAGAAAGUUU